rnacentral:rRNA from 1 species
CCUACGGGCGGCUGCAGUGGGGAAUAUUGGACAAUGGGGGGAACCCUGAUCCAGCCAUGCCGCGUGUGUGAAGAAGGCCCUCGGGUUGUAAAGCACUUUCAGUGAGGAAGAACGCCUGGUGGUUAAUACCCAUCAGGAAAGACAUCACUCACAGAAGAAGCACCGGCUAACUCCGUGCCAGCAGCCGCGGUAAUACGGAGGGUGCGAGCGUUAAUCGGAAUUACUGGGCGUAAAGCGCGCGUAGGUGGCUUGAUAAGCCGGUUGUGAAAGCCCCGGGCUCAACCUGGGAACGGCAUCCGGAACUGUCAAGCUAGAGUGCAGGAGAGGAAGGUAGAAUUCCCGGUGUAGCGGUGAAAUGCGUAGAGAUCGGGAGGAAUACCAGUGGCGAAGGCGGCCUUCUGGACUGACACUGACACGGAGGUGCGAAAGCGUGGGUAGCAAACAGGAUUAGAUACCCUUGUAGUC